GAGAGAUCAGCUUUUGGUGCUGUGUUCAUUGAACUAAGUGUUAACUCUGGUCUGGUUUGAAUGCAUUCGUGUUAGUUGGUGGUUGAAUGUUGUCUUGUGUAACUUUUAUGUUUGUGUUUUCAUUCCCUGGAGCUUGAGAUCUGGGAAUGUUUUGAAUUUCCUUUGUAUUUUGGGAAUCCAUGGUGAUUUGGAUGUGUGUCUGUGUCAGUAUGGAGCAUGUAUGGUUAAUGUAAUAUCCUUUUAAGGAACUAUCAGUGAUAGUUUCAAACAAAAAUCUGUGAUAAAAUGUUGAUUUUUAAGAAUUGGAUUGUAAAGCUUGGUAAAAAUGUGUCUCUUGGAAUGGAAAAUUAUCACAUUUGGAAUUUCAUUUUCUAACCAGAGAGAACUUUCAAAUAUUGUUUUAACACAUAUGUGAAUCUUUAAUUCCAGAUCAUAAGAUUUGCUCAUGGAGGAAGAGUGACAGUCGACGUAAUUAUGUCCAGGAGUUUUCACCCGACCCCUUAAACCACUUGAAGAGGAAUGGAUGGAUACUUUUUGUCUUUCAGAUAAGCAUACAAAUUUCUGAAUAUGCCUGCAGACGCAGUGAUGGAUAAGGCAGUCUCAACCUAUCAAGCCAUUUGUUAACAACAUUUGAAGAACUUCUGUGAAAGCAUUCAGGAAUUUAAAUAUAUAAGAAUUGUCAGUGACUUUGGGGCUGUAAACAGAAUUUUGAAUUUGAAUGCAUUCAUGUAAAGACAUAUCAAAUAUCUAGAAUGAACUAUAAAAAAGGAAAAAAAAAAAUGGGUCAUCCUGUAACAAAUUAGGCCCUUAUAGAAGCCUCAACUCUAUCUGUAGAGGCAGUAAUAAAAAUUAAAGCACUUCA